rnacentral:rRNA from 1 species
GACGUAGGGCGCGAGCGUUGUCCGGAUUUAUUGGGCGUAAAGAGCUCGUAGGCGGCUUGUCACGUCGGGUGUGAAAGCCCGGGGCUUAACCCCGGGUCUGCAUUCGAUACGGGCUAGCUAGAGUGUGGUAGGGGGAGAUCGGAAUUCCUGGUGUAGCGGUGAAAUGCGCAGAUAUCAGGAGGAACACCGGUGGCGAAGGCGGUUCUCUGGGCAUGUCCUGACGCUGAGGAGCGAAAGUGUGGGGAGCGAACAGG